UUUAAGACUAAGAAAACGAAAGUAAUGAGAUUGAAAGACGGAUAGGUAUUAUAGAGCAAAUCAGUUAUAAAUUUAUAACGGAAAACUAGGACUACCCAGUCGAAAAUGAAUAUCAAAAAUUAUGGUAGAAACGUCGAUUUUACAACAAUUUUCGUGUUAAACAACAACUUUUACUUAGAAAAACUCUAGAAAGAGAUCUGCGGAGACUCCAUUUUGGAUCGAUUGGAUUCGCGUUUAGCUGUCAAAAAACGAAUCCAAUCGAACAUUGCCUAUCCUUAUAACAUUGGACGUGUUGCCAUACAAUGCCGGGGCAUUCGUUGCCAAAAAUGCUGUUUUUCUCUCCGCAGUUCUCUUACUAGAGUUUUUCUACUUUUACUGUAAUAUCAAUGUACAUGAUUUAGCGCGUCAUAAAUUUAUCCAAAAAUAGUAUUCUUUAUUUUUUCGUACAUUGAAUUUGUUGUCAUAUAUUAUUCGCGUAUUUUCAGUGUGGUCACUCUUUUGUCCAGUUUGGCAAAUAUUUUCGGGUUUAUAAUACUCAGAGCAACGGAUGUUACGAUUUCCUGUCCAAUGAUCACCCAGAAUCAGGAUAUGUGUGCAUGGUUUCUGUUGCACAGGUUAGGAUUAUACCUUUGGGUUGUCUUUAAUACUGAAUUGCGAGGUUCGUUAAUGGAAUCAAGAUGCAGCAUAAAUUAGCUCAACGAAACCGAUGCAAAAAAAUAUUUCAGUCGUGCUGGAUAUUGCCAGCGGAACAUAUACAGUUUGUAUGAUAUGCGAAAGCUUGCUACAAGAUGCACCUUGAGACGCAUUCCUGUUUCCUAUUCCAAAAAAUUGUCCUCAUAAGUUAACGAAGUUCAAAAUUCCUACGUCAUAUGUUUGCAACUAGUAGGAAUUAUUGCAACUUUUGAGGAAUCGUAGUUGGACAAAAAGCCUCCGAUAUUUACAAUGAAAUAGUAUGUUGAAACAAUACUUAUCAUUAUGUUUUCUUUGUCAUU